GUGCCAGCAGCCGCGGUAAUACGAGGGGUGCAAGCGUUACUCGGAACCACUGGGCGUAAAGAGAAUGUGGGCGGGUAGAAAAGUCAGAAGUGAAAUCCUAUAGCUUAACUAUAGAACUGCUUCUGAAACUCUUUACCUAGAAUAUGGGAGAGGUAGAUGGAAUUUCUGGUGUAGGGGUAAAAUCCGUAGAGAUCAGAAGGAAUACCGAUUGCGAAGGCGAUCUACUGGAACAUUACUGACGCUGAGAUGCGAAAGCGUGGGAGCAAACAGGAUUAGAUACCCUGGUAGUCCACGCCCUAAACGAUGCACACUAGUUGUUGCUAUGCUAGACAUAGCAGUAAUGCAGUUAACACAGUAAGUGUGCCGCCUGGGGAGUACGGUCGCAAGAUUAAAACUUAAAGGAAUUGACGG
rnacentral:rRNA from 1 species